CCUACGGGAGGCAGCAGUGAGGAAUAUUGGUCAAUGGGCUUACGCCUGAACCAGCCAAGUCGCGUGAGGGAAGACUGCCCUCUGGGUUGUAAACCUCUUUUGUCAGGGAGCAACGCCGGCUACGUGUAGCCGGACUGAGAGUACCUGAAGAAAACGCAUCGGCUAACUCCGUGCCAGCAGCCGCGGUAAUACGGAGGAUUCGAGCGUUAUCCGGAUUUAUUGGGUUUAAAGGAUGCGUAGGCGGAAUGCCAAGUCAGCGGUAAAAGCGCGGGGCUCAACCUCGCUCCGCCGUUGAAACUGGCGUUCUUGAGUGGGCGAGAAGUAUGCGGAAUGCGUGGUGUAGCGGUGAAAUGCAUAGAUAUCACGCAGAACUCCGAUUGCGAAGGCAGCAUACCGGCGCCCAACUGACGCUGAAGCACGAAAGCGUGGGUAUCGAACAGGAUUAGAUACCCUGGUAGUC
rnacentral:rRNA from 1 species